rnacentral:rRNA from 1 species
GACGAACGCUGGCGGCGUGCUUAACACAUGCAAGUCGAACGGAAAGGCCCUGCUUUUGUGGGGUGCUCGAGUGGCGAACGGGUGAGUAACACGUGAGUAACCUGCCCUUGACUUUGGGAUAACUUCAGGAAACUGGGGCUAAUACCGGAUAGGAGCUCCUGCUGCAUGGUGGGGGUUGGAAAGUUUCGGCGGUUGGGGAUGGACUCGCGGCUUAUCAGCUUGUUGGUGGGGUAGUGGCUUACCAAGGCUUUGACGGGUAGCCGGCCUGAGAGGGUGACCGGCCACAUUGGGACUGAGAUACGGCCCAGACUCCUACGGGAGGCAGCAGUGGGAAUAUUGCACAAUGGGCGGAAGCCUGAUGCAGCAACGCCGCGUGCGGGAUGACGGCCUUCGGGUUGCAAACCGCUUUCGCCUGUGACGAAGCGUGAGUGACGGUAAUGGGUAAAGAAGCACCGGCUAACUACGUGCCAGCAGCCGCGGUGAUACGUAGGGUGCGAGCGUUGUCCGGAUUUAUUGGGCGUAAAGGGCUCGUAGGUGGUUGAUCGCGUCGGAAGUGUAAUCUUGGGGCUUAACCCUGAGCGUGCUUUCGAUACGGGUUGACUUGAGGAAGGUAGGGGAGAAUGGAAUUCCUGGUGGAGCGGUGGAAUGCGCAGAUAUCAGGAGGAACACCAGUGGCGAAGGCGGUUCUCUGGGCCUUUCCUGACGCUGAGGAGCGAAAGCGUGGGGAGCGAACAGGCUUAGAUACCCUGGUAGUCCACGCUGUAAACGGUGGGUACUAGGUGUGGGGUCCAUUCCACGGGUUCCGUGCCGUAGCUAACGCUUUAAGUACCCCGCCUGGGGAGUACGGCCGCAAGGCUAAAACUCAAAGGAAUUGACGGGGCCCCGCACAAGCGGCGGAGCAUGCGGAUUAAUUCGAUGCAACGCGUAGAACCUUACCUGGGUUUGACAUGGAUCGGGAGUGCUCAGAGACGGGUGUGCCUCUUUUGGGGUCGGUUCACAGGUGGUGCAUGGCUGUCGUCAGCUCGUGUCGUGAGAUGUUGGGUUAAGUCCCGCAACGAGCGCAACCCUUGUUCACUGUUGCCAGCACGUUAUGGUGGGGACUCAGUGGAGACCGCCGGGGUCAACUCGGAGGAAGGUGGGGAUGACGUCAAGUCAUCACGCCCCUUAUGUCCAGGGCUUCACGCAUGCUACAAUGGCUGGUACAGAGAGUGGCGAGCCUGUGAGGGUGAGCGAAUCUCGGAAAGCCGGUCUCAGUUCGGAUUGGGGUCUGCAACUCGACCUCAUGAAGUCGGAGUCGCUAGUAAUCGCAGAUCAGCAACGCUGCGGUGAAUACGUUCCCGGGGCU